CUUGUAGGCGGUCUGUCGCGUCUGCUGUGAAAAUCCGGGGGCUCAACCCCGGACUUGCAGUGGGGUACGGGCAGACUAGAGUAUGGUAGGGGAGACUGGAAUUCCUGGUGUAGCGGUGAAAUGCGCAGAUAUCAGGAGGAACACCGAUGGCGAAGGCAGGUCUCUGGGCCAUUACUGACGCUGAGAAGACGAAAGCGGUGGGGAGCGAACA
rnacentral:rRNA from 1 species